rnacentral:misc_RNA from 1 species
AAGUCGUAACAAGGUUUCCGUAGGUGGCAAGUUUGCCUAUCGAAAGCCCUCGCAGCGACUCUAAAUAACUGCCCGAGUCUACCCCUUCCCAGGGGCGGGCAACGCUAUCAGUCUGCGCUGGAAGCUCCUCUCGUCAGAGGGCCAACCAGCAGCUUCAGGGAGCCCCUGAAGUCCACAGAUCAAACGAUAGCGGCCACAAUGUGGUUUAGAUAUGACCGGCCCCAACCGCUAAGCGGAUGGAGAAAUUUUUGCGGAACCUGCGGAAGGAUCAUUACUGAGAGAGGGGCUUCGCGCUCCCGGGGGUUUCGGCCCCUACCUCUUCACCCAUUGUUUAUCUACCUUUGUUGCUUUGGCGGGCUUUGGGGUUUCGCCUCACGCCGGACUUCGGACUGGUGAGCGCCCGCCAGAGGCCCAUUAAAUUCCCGUUUAUGCAGUAUUAUCAGAACAAAAAUUUACUUAGUAAAAAC